rnacentral:rRNA from 1 species
GACGAACGCUGGCGGCGUGCCUAAUACAUGCAAGUUGAGCGCUGAAGGUUGGUACUUGUACCAACUGGAUGAGCAGCGAACGGGUGAGUAACGCGUGGGGAAUCUGCCUUUGAGCGGGGGACAACAUUUGGAAACGAAUGCUAAUACCGCAUAAAAACUUUAAACACAAGUUUUAAGUUUGAAAGAUGCAAUUGCAUCACUCAAAGAUGAUCCCGCGUUGUAUUAGCUAGUUGGUGAGGUAAAGGCUCACCAAGGCGAUGAUACAUAGCCGACCUGAGAGGGUGGUCGGCCAAAUUGGGACUGAGACACGGCCCAAACCCCUACGGGAGGCAGCAGUAGGGAAUCUUCGGCAAUGGACGAAAGUCUGACCGGGCAACGCCGCGUGAGUGAAGAAGGGUUUCGGAUCGUAAAACUCUGUUGGUAGAGAAGAACGUUGGUGAGAGUGGAAAGCUCAUCAAGUGACGGUAACUACCCAGAAAGGGACGGCUAACUACGUG